rnacentral:rRNA from 1 species
AGCGUAGACGGACUGGCAAGUCUGAUGUGAAAGGCGGGGGGCUCAACCCCUGGACUGCAUUGGAAACUGUUAGUCUUGAGUGCCGGAGAGGUAAGCGGAAUUCCUAGUGUAGCGGUGAAAUGCGUAGAUAUUAGGAGGAACACCAGUGGCGAAGGCGGCUUACUGGACGGUAACUGACGUUGAGGCUCGAAAGCGUGGGGAGGCAAAACA